UGGGGCAUGAACCUGGCAUACAAUGUAGAUUCCUGUGUUUGUUAAGCAACAGCUACAUUGUCUGCUGGGUUUCCAGCUGCCUGG
rfam:Phalacrocorax carbo contig97683, whole genome shotgun sequence.